AUAUAAAAGUGAAGUUGUCAUUAAGCCUUAAUCGUAUGGUGAGGGGUUAGUCCACAUUUCACAACUCACCUAAACCUUAAUUUGAAGUCUUCCAAGAGUCUACACAUUUUGAUUUUCGGAGUUGACUUGAAAUAUAGACCCAUUACCAUCUAUAAUACAAUUUGCAUUUCAAUGUUUCCCCCUAACUCCGAGCCCUCCUUUUGGGACAGGAACCAACCAGAAGCUGACCGACGCUGAUCUAAUCGAAGAUGGGGAAAGUCAUCUGCUCGGAAUUAAAAGAAGGGAACAGUUUGGGCUUCACCGGGUUCCUCAUGGUGCUGGUUAUUGCUCUCGCCCUCAUGGCCAUCUGCUUCCCACCACCACCGCGGCGAGCUGUGCUCGUGGCACGGCGUUUUGGCUGAGAAAUGAUCAAGGUCGAUAGAAGUCAAAGGUCUCGGUUCAGCAUCCAGAUCAAUCCUGACUUCAGCAUAACUUUGGUGAUGUAUUUUUCCUUUGGUAAAUGUGGCAUGUACUUCAGUUUUAUUAAAGAGACUUGUAAGUUUUGGUUGUAAAGAAUUGGCCUAUAAUAUAUGAAUGAUAAAUGAAACGUUAAGUUAUAAAAUGGUAUGUUUGGUACUAAAACUGAAAUAAAAUGAAUGAAGUUUAUUUAUUUAAACAA